UACGGUAGGGGGCAAGCGUUGUCCGGAAUCAUUGGGCGUAAAGCGCGCGUAGGUGGCCUCAUAAGUCCGCUGUGAAAGUCAAAGGCUCAACCUUUGAAAGCCGGUGGAUACUGUGAGGCUAGAGUACGGAAGAGGCGAGUGGAAUUCCUGGUGUAGCAGUGGAAUGCGCAGAUAUCAGGAGGAACACCAAUAGCGAAGGCAGCUCGCUGGGACGUUACUGACACUGAGGCGCGAAAGCGUGGGGAGCGAACAGG
rnacentral:rRNA from 1 species